CCUACGGGGUGCAGCAGUGAGGAAUAUUGGUCAAUGGACGAGAGUCUGAACCAGCCAAGUAGCGUGAAGGAUGACUGCCCUAUGGGUUGUAAACUUCUUUUAUAUGGGAAUAAAACGUUCCACGUGUGGGAUUUUGUAUGUACCAUAUGAAUAAGGAUCGGCUAACUCCGUGCCAGCAGCCGCGGUAAUACGGAGGAUCCGAGCGUUAUCCGGAUUUAUUGGGUUUAAAGGGAGCGUAGGUGGAGUGUUAAGUCAGUUGUGAAAGUUUGCGGCUCAACCGUAAAAUUGCAGUUGAAACUGGCAGUCUUGAGUACAGUAGAGGUGGGCGGAAUUCGUGGUGUAGCGGUGAAAUGCUUAGAUAUCACGAAGAACUCCGAUUGCGAAGGCAGUUCACUGGACCGCAACUGACACUGAGGCUCGAAAGUGUGGGUAUCAAACAGGAUUAGAUACCCGAGUAGUC
rnacentral:rRNA from 1 species